CCCCUGGUGGUCCAGCGGUUAGGACUCUGCACUUCCACGGCAAGGAGUGGGGUGCGAUCCCUGAUCAGGGGA
rnacentral:tRNA from 1 species